GUUUUUUUGAGCAACCAGCAUGAACUCUGCCUUUUCACUACGUCUCAAAUGUUUAUCAAGUAAGUUCAUAAAUGGUAUUUCUAUUAAAACAAUUAUUUUAGAAUAAUCAAAUGGAUACAGAAUAUUAUCAUGUCACCUAAGUUAUAUUUUCAAACGUGGGAUAUCGUAAAGAUUAGUGCUCCAAAAAAACUAAAAAUAUACAAACGUACCACAACUUUGGUUCGUUGUUUCAAAAAGCAGUAAUGAUUAUUGUGCUAACAAAUGCCAAUACAAUGUAGAUAUGGACCAGGCCCGCAUGUAAGGAUGAUGUCGAGUAGGAUAUUGGAUUCGACCAAACGGCCCGUCUAUGCACCCCUCUCUCGCGUUCAAUCCCUUCCCCUCCUCCCUCUCAUCAUGCCUAACACGUUUUGGUCUCGCGCCCUGUCCC
rnacentral:lncRNA from 1 species